rnacentral:rRNA from 1 species
GAUGAACGCUAGCGGCAGGCCUAACACAUGCAAGUCGAGGGAGAAGCCCUUCGGGGCAGAAACCGGCGCACGGGUGCGUAACGCGUAUGCAACCUACCUUUCACAGGGGGAUAGCCCGAAGAAAUUUGGAUUAAUACCCCAUAAUAUUAUUGGGUGGCAUCAUUUGAUAAUUAAAAUUACGAUGGUGAAAGAUGGGCAUGCGUCCUAUUAGCUAGUUGGAGUGGUAACGGCACCCCAAGGCUACGAUAGGUAGGGGUCCUGAGAGGGAGAUCCCCCACACUGGUACUGAGACAGGGACCAGACUCCUACGGGAGGCAGCAGUGAGGAAUAUUGGUCAAUGGUCGGAAGACUGAACCAGCCAUGCCGCGUGCAGGAAGAAUGCCUUAUGGGUUGUAAACUGCUUUUAUAUGGGAAGAAUAAGGAGUACGUGUACUUNGANGACGGUNCCA